rnacentral:tRNA from 1 species
GGGAUUUAGCUCAGUCGGCAGAGCGCCUGCCUUGCAAGCAGGAGGCCAACGGUUCGAGUCCGUUAUUCUCC